UACGGAGGGUGCAAGCGUUAUCCGGAUUCACUGGGUUUAAAGGGUGCGUAGGCGGCUUUUUAAGUCAGGGGUGAAAGACGGUAGCUUAACUAUCGCAGUGCCCUUGAUACUGAAGAGCUUGAAUAUACUUGAGGUAGGCGGAAUGUGACAAGUAGCGGUGAAAUGCAUAGAUAUGUCACAGAACACCAAUUGCGAAGGCAGCUUACUAAGGUAUGAUUGACGCUGAGGCACGAAAGCGUGGGGAUCAAACAGG
rnacentral:rRNA from 1 species